rnacentral:rRNA from 1 species
AAUAUUGCGCAAUGGAGGGAACUCUGACGCAGCAACGCCGCGUGAGUGAGGAAGGCCUUCGGGUCGUAAAGCUCUGUUGCCAGGGAAGAAUCCCUUCAUGUUAACUGCAUGGAGGUUGACGGUACCUGAGAAGAAAGCCCCGGCUAACUACGUGCCAGCAGCCGCGGUAAUACGUAGGGGGCGAGCGUUGUCCGGAAUUACUGGGCGUAAAGGGUACGUAGGCGGCUAUAUAAGUCAGGUGUGAAAUACCAGUGCUUAACACUGGAAUUGCAUUUGAAACUGUGUAGCUUGAGUGCAGGAGAGGAAAGUGGAAUUCCUAGUGUAGCGGUGAAAUGCGUAGAGAUUAGGAGGAACACCAGUGGCGAAGGCGACUUUCUGUACUGUAACUGACGCUGAGGUACGAAAGCGUGGGUAGCGAACA